rnacentral:lncRNA from 1 species
ACAAAUUGUUUCAUCUUCUAAUGAACUCCUGUAUUGUGGUGAAGUCCUUAGGAGUAUUUAGACUCGACAAAGGAGGAUUUGUCGUUUAGUCCUUAAACCUGUUCGCAACCAAAUGAUACGUUGUUACCAAGGACAACAACGUUUAUUAAGCAUAGGUCGUUGUGUGCCAUAUGGGUUGGUUGUCCUCUUAACCAAAGAGUGUGGAGACACUGGUAUGG